rnacentral:rRNA from 1 species
GGUUAAGCGACUAAGCGUACACGGUGGAUGCCCUGGCAGUCAGAGGCGAUGAAGGACGUGCUAAUCUGCGAUAAGCGUCGGUAAGGUGAUAUGAACCGUUAUAACCGGCGAUUUCCGAAUGGGGAAACCCAGUGUGAUUCGUCACACUAUCAUUAACUGAAUCCAUAGGUUAAUGAGGCGAACCGGGGGAACUGAAACAUCUAAGUACCCCGAGGAAAAGAAAUCAACCGAGAUUCCCCCAGUAGCGGCGAGCGAACGGGGAGCAGCCCAGAGCCUGAAUCAGUGUGUGUGUUAGUGGAAGCGUCUGGAAAGGCGCGCGAUACAGGGUGACAGCCCCGUACACAAAAAUGCACAUACUGUGAGCUCGAUGAGUAGGGCGGGACACGUGGUAUCCUGUCUGAAUAUGGGGGGACCAUCCUCCAAGGCUAAAUACUCCUGACUGACCGAUAGUGAACCAGUACCGUGAGGGAAAGGCGAAAAGAACCCCGGCGAGGGGAGUGAAAAAGAACCUGAAACCGUGUACGUACAAGCAGUGGGAG